UAACAAUCUUUACGUGGUAUGUAAUGGGUUAUAGUUCUCUUACAAGAUAUUUCCCUUUGUUAAAAAAUAGUACUUUAAACAGAGUAUUUUCGGUCAAUAUAUCUUUUUUCCUAGUAAUUCAGAAGCAUUCUAUUGCAUUUUCCUUGAUUCUUAUAUUUGAUUUUCGUCAAUAUGAGAUGAUUAACAUUUUUCUAUCACAGGAAGGCGAACAAAUCAAUGAUGAGCGAGAAUCAAGUAUGAAGAUGGGAGAGCAGAUAAUACAAGGAGUGGAGCCUCUUACCUAUUUUAAGAAAAAGGAAUGUAGCAGGUUACUGGAAAAAGAGCCUUGGAAUUUUCAAAUAAUAAGCUAGAUAAUUUAAUUUGGCCUACCUAAUUAUUUUUGAUCAGUGACUUCUGCAGUCAUUCAGAAACUAGCGUGGCUUUCGGUUAAACUUUAUUGGAUAUCGUAAGAGUGAAUUAAUGUCUUGAAGAUUCUAUGAAACUGUCAGAUAGAAAUUGCUCUGUUGUAAUGUGUUUAAUUAGAAUAAACGAAACAUGACACUUUAGGAAUAGAA